GACGAACGCUGGCGGCGUGCUUAACACAUGCAAGUCGAACGGAAAGGCCCUGCUUUUGUGGGGUGCUCGAGUGGCGAACGGGUGAGUAACACGUGAGUAACCUGCCCUUGACUUUGGGAUAACUUCAGGAAACUGGGGCUAAUACCGGAUAGGAGCUCUUGCUGCAUGGUGGGGGUUGGAAAGUUUCGGCCGUUGGGGAUGGACUCGCGGCUUAUCAGCUUGUUGGUGGGGUAGUGGCUUACCAAGGCUUUGACGGGUAGCCGGCCUGAGAGGGUGACCGGCGACAUUGGGACUGAGGUACGGCGCAGACUCCUACGGGAGGCAGCAGUGGAGAAUAUUGCAGAAUGGGCGGGAGCCUGAUGCGGCGGCGCCGCGUGCGGGAUGCCGGCCUUCGGGGUGUAAACCGCUUUCGCCUGUGACGAAGCGGGAGUGACGGUAAUGGGUAAAGAAGCAACGGCUAACUACGUG
rnacentral:rRNA from 1 species